rnacentral:rRNA from 1 species
GAUGAACGCUAGCGACAGGCCUAACACAUGCAAGUCGAGGGGCAGCGGGAUUGAAGCUUGCUUUAAUUGCCGGCGACCGGCGCACGGGUGCGUAACACGUAUCCAAUCUACCCAUGGCUCGAGGGAUAGCCUUUACGAAAGAAAGAUUAAUACCUGAUGGUCUUACAUGGAGACAUCUCUUUGUAAGUAAAGAUUUAUCGGUGCGAGAUGGAUCCGCGUCUGAUUAGCCAGUUGGCGGGGUAACGGCCCACCAAAGCGACGAUCAGUAGCCGGCCUGAGAGGGUGAACGGCCACAUUGGGACUGAGACACGGCCCAAACUCC